UACGAAGGCCCCGAGCGUUAUCCGGAUUUAUUGGGCGUAAAGCGUUAAACGGUGGUUCCGCACGUCUCCGGUUAAAUCUCAUGGCUCAACCAUGAAACCGCCGGUGAUACGACGGGACUUGAGGACGGGAGAGGCAUACGGAAUUGGCGGUGUAGCGGUAAAAUGCGUUAAUAUCGCCAAGAACACCAAUAGCGAAGGCAGUAUGCUGGAACGAUCCUGACACUCAAUAACGAAAGCGUGGGGAGCGAAUGGG
rnacentral:rRNA from 1 species